rnacentral:tRNA from 1 species
GGUGAUGUAGCUCAGUGAUAGAGCAUCUGGUUGUCUCCCAGAGGGCCGCGGGUUUGAUUCCCGUCAUCGCCGCCA